UGGGGAAUUUUGGACAAUGGGCGAAAGCCUGAUCCAGCAAUACCGCGUGUGUGAUGAAGGCAUUCGUGUUGUAAAGCACUUUCAAUUGCGAAGAAAUGCAUAUAGUUAAUAGCUAUAUGAGCUGACGUUAGCAAUAGAAGAAGCACCGGCUAACUCUGUGCCAGCAGCCGCGGUAAUACAGAGGGUGCAAGCGUUAAUCGGAAUUACUGGGCGUAAAGCGCACGUAGGCGGGCUAUUAAGUCAUAUGUGAAAGCCCUGAGCUCAACUUAGGAAUUGCACGUGAUACUGAUAGCCUAGAGUAUGGUAGAGGAAAGUGGAAUUUCCGGUGUAGCGGUGAAAUGCAUAGAUAUCGGAAGGAACAUCAGAGGCGAAGGCGACUUUCUGGGCCAUUACUGACGCUGAGGUGCGAAAGCGUGGGGAGCAAACAGG
rnacentral:rRNA from 1 species